CUCCUUCUUCUUCUCCUCUCCUCGCUCUCAAAAUGGCGGCCGCGACGGCCGUUGAGUGAGAGGCACCGAGGAGGGGGCCCUGGCCUGGGAGGGCGCUGCCCUGGCUCCGGUUCCUCCGACCCUGGCAGUGGGCUACUCAGGCUGCUGAGGGUUCAAGCCGUGGCCUCUCGGGCGGCAUCGCCCUCCUGCCGCCGUGACUUAGCAAGAAAAGUAUUCUUGGGUGGGAAGGGCGUGGAUAGCAGGUCGCUCUCUGAUCUUGGGGAAAGGGCUCAGCCCUCCUGGGCCGCGGAAGCGAACCCGCAGUCCCCACCCCUCCUUGGCUGGCGACUCGCCGCCGGGGCUCCAGCAGCUACCAGGCCUUCCAGGCGUCGGGUUCUCCGCUUGUCCUUAGGUUGAGGGUGGACCCGGGGAGGAUGGCCCGCCGCUCAGGCCCUCGGCCCCCCGGUGCGGUGGUGGUCCAGCCUCUGCAUUCAGUAAAGAUCUGCAGCAUCCACCCACCGAAUCGGGCAGGAUUUUCCUUUUUGCUACUGACUCCUCGCACGGGAGUUGUCUUUUGACGUUGCUAACACUGAGCUCCCAGGUUCUCGAUCAUUCCCUUCAUCCCAUCUCUCCACUCCAUUAGGAAACGCUGUGACUAUUUACCCUCUCUAGCCUCCCAGGUGGAAUGAACCUUACUUGUUGACUGGUUGCUGAUUGGAUUCACUUGAAAAAAAGAAUCAUUUUUCCCUCUGUGGAAGCCACAUAGUGGCAUAUUUAAUUCAAAUCCAGGGAUCACAACUUUUGAUUUUUCUGGAGGGACAUACCACUAUAUCAAAUAAGCUUGACAUUACAGCCAAAAUGGUGCUGUCCCAGAGACAACGAGAUGAACUAAAUCGAGCUAUAGCAGAUUAUCUUCGUUCAAAUGGCUAUGAAGAGGCAUAUUCCGUUUUUAAAAAGGAAGCUGAACUAGAUAUGAAUGAAGAAUUAGAUAAGAAGUAUGCUGGUCUUUUGGAAAAAAAAUGGACAUCUGUUAUUAGAUUACAAAAAAAGGUAAUGGAAUUAGAAUCAAAACUAAAUGAAGCAAAAGAAGAAUUUACGUCGGGUGGUCCUCUUGGUCAGAAACGGGACCCAAAAGAAUGGAUUCCCCGUCCACCUGAGAAAUACGCAUUGAGUGGUCAUAGGAGUCCAGUUACUCGAGUCAUUUUCCAUCCUGUGUUCAGUGUUAUGGUCUCUGCUUCAGAGGAUGCUACAAUUAAGGUGUGGGAUUAUGAGACUGGAGAUUUUGAGCGAACUCUCAAGGGCCAUACAGACUCUGUACAGGACAUUUCCUUUGACCACAGUGGCAAGCUUCUGGCUUCCUGUUCAGCAGAUAUGACGAUUAAAUUAUGGGAUUUUCAGGGUUUUGAAUGCAUCAGAACCAUGCACGGUCACGAUCACAAUGUCUCUUCAGUAGCCAUCAUGCCUAAUGGAGAUCAUAUAGUGUCUGCCUCAAGGGAUAAAACUAUAAAGAUGUGGGAAGUGCAAACUGGCUACUGUGUGAAGACAUUCACAGGACACAGAGAAUGGGUACGUAUGGUGCGGCCAAAUCAGGAUGGCACUCUGAUAGCCAGCUGUUCCAAUGACCAGACUGUGCGUGUGUGGGUUGUAGCAACAAAGGAAUGCAAGGCUGAGCUCCGAGAACAUGAACAUGUGGUGGAAUGCAUUUCCUGGGCUCCAGAAAGUUCAUAUUCUUCCAUCUCUGAAGCAACAGGAUCUGAGACUAAAAAAAGUGGCAAGCCUGGACCUUUCUUGCUAUCUGGUUCCAGAGACAAAACUAUUAAGAUGUGGGACGUCAGUACUGGCAUGUGCCUUAUGACUCUUGUGGGUCAUGAUAACUGGGUACGUGGAGUUCUGUUCCAUUCUGGGGGGAAGUUUAUUUUGAGUUGUGCUGAUGACAAGACCCUCCGUGUAUGGGAUUAUAAGAACAAGCGAUGCAUGAAGACCCUCAAUGCGCAUGAACACUUUGUUACCUCCUUGGAUUUCCAUAAGACGGCACCCUAUGUGGUUACUGGCAGUGUAGAUCAAACAGUAAAGGUGUGGGAGUGCCGUUGAUUGAGUCACAUUUGGUUCUUCCUCCCUUUUUUCCUCUGGAUGCACUCUGAUGAUACCAUGGUUACCCCAUUUGAGCUCUGUUUAAAUAAAUAUUGUCCUUUCAUGUAAAUUAUUCUGGAUGUAGAUUGAACUUAUUAAAUGUUACACACAAAGUAUUCAUGCAUGGUGAAUCCAAAUUGUAUACUGUAAAUUUACAUAUGUUGUCUAGAAGUACCAUAGGGUUUAAAAACCUGGGCUGGCAUUGGUCACACCAGGCCUACAAGGGCAGAAGUUAAAUAAAUUGAACUAGGGCACUAAACUGAAUAGUUGACAGUGUCAUUUUAUGUUGGAUUAUUAAUUACUGUUUUUCUUCCUGCUAUCUGUUGGUGCCUGACUUGAUGGCCUCAUUUUGGGGAAAGUGGUGGUUAUUAGGGCUUUUUCUGAAAUGUGUAUCUAUGUAACAUCACUUAAGUGUGCUUACUAAAUCUUUAAGGGUGUUAGAUAAUAAGACUGCAAUUCAGAAUCUUUGCUCCAUCUGUGUAAUGGGGAUUACACAUGAAGUUUUUGUCAUGACCCCUUUGCCAAAUCAAUAGGAUAUGUUUGUUUUGGCAGCCUAUCAAGCAAAGGCUAGUGGUUUAUUUAUGUAAGAAAAUGAUCGUAAUUCUCAAGAAAAAUCUCAGCAGCUAAUAGUGAAUCCUUUUUCAUUUGGGUCUUACUGCUUUGUAAACAGGUCAGGAAGCACUGUCCUACUUUAGGCUUCUCUUCACACUAGACAUGCGAGUUGUAUUCUCCAGACUGUUGGACUGUGUAGUGAUGUGACUCCCCAGUAGAAUUUGAUCUUCCCAUUGAGUGUUAUGGUACAGAUCACUAUGUGUUUAUGAUGUUUUUAGGGAUGUGCAAUGUGCAUGUCAGAAUUAUGAAUGCUGACAAAGCUGGGUGCGCAUUUUAAAGGAGUGGAAGGAACAGUUUCCAACAUGACCCUGAUAACAAUUCGAACUGUUUCACUUACAAGCUAUAAAAAAAAGUGACAGGGUGUAAUGAAGCGUGCAUAGAAUAUACUGGGUUUUUUUUUUCUCAUGUUUUGUUUAUAUGUAAAUGUUUAUAAGUAUAUGGGCCUAUCUGUAAGUGGAUAUGUCUAUAUAUGUAUAUCACACACAUAUAACCUCCAUGUUGUUGGGUCUUAAGUUUUUGAAGAAGUGCUAAAACUUACGCAUAGAGUAAAUCUUGCUGGGGAACACCAACCACAGCCAUGCUAAACUCUUCUGCUGUUUCUGACUCUGAGGAGCUUUUCUAAGAGAAAGUCACUUCCUUUGUUCUCCCCUCUAAUGUGGCCAGUCACCAUGUUACGCAUUCCUCAUAGGCUGUAUAUUUUGAUCCAGAGUUUCUACAGUAGGUUUAAGAGAAUUUUGCCCAUGACUUUUGGAACACUAUUCCAUUGUCAAUUUUUAAUAAAGAAUUUAUCACCUAGCUAAUCAACUUUUUUUUCUUUUUAAGAAAAUCAAUUUGAAAGGUUAACAGAAACAAUGACAUAACAGUGACAGUCUAACAAUGAUAAUUUUUUUUUUCUGGACUGCAUUUUAUUCGUUUGUAUAAUAGAUUUUUUAAAAAUCCCUUUAAGUAUUGAAUGGAAAUUUGGUUCCUGAAAGGACAAAGGGUGAGAAUUAAUGUCCUGUAGAUAUACACAAGAGAUUAGGCUCUGACAGAAGCUCACUGUCUAGCUUGUGUGCUUUUGUUUGUUCACUUGUUUGUUCUUAAUAUUCCUCAGAGAUUUCUCUAGAAAGGAAAAGUGUUUUGAGAAUUAAGUGGUUAUUUUUGAGGACAAAAACUCCAUCGUGACUCCCAUAAACAACACUGUAGGUUGGCUUUUAGGACAACAUUGCCUCACAGCCCUGCUUACAUUAAGAAGUCUUUUUCUCCUAGCUGUUCUGACUGGAUUUUUCUCCAAAAGCUAUAGAAAAUACCUUCGUUCUCAUUUGCUGCUAUUUCCUGUCCUAUUUCAAGAAUAUAAAUACAUAGAAAUGGUGCAUCUUAACAUUUGUUUGUAUGUGUUAAAAUGUCUUGUUUUUUAAUUCAGUUUUAGCAUGUAGCAACAUGAAUUGUUUAAGGGUAAGCCACAACAUCUAGACAUCAUUCAUAGAAACAAUAAAGAAUGGUACCAAUGUAGAGGAGCAAAGCUGCUGGGUUUCCUCCCCUGCAGCAGUGACUCACUGACAACGGAGGAGAGAGUGCUCUGUAACAAAGCUGUCCUUACUUGGGAGAAUGCCACAGCCUGCUGCUUAGCUGAGUUACCAGACAUCAUCCAUUUAAGCAGCAGAAAACAUUGAAUCUCAGGGAUGGUCCACAGCUGGAUCCAAACUUAACGAGCCCUGUUUGAAUAAUGAAGGGUGGCGGGGCAACAUCCACAUCUGGCAUCGGAUUUGCAAAGGUUUCUCACACUGUUGUUUGACACUGCCCUGUUGAUGCCCUUACUCUUAUGUUACUGUUUUCUCUGUCUGCUGUCUAACCCUGUGCCUUGCCUGGGAUAAGGACAAUGAUAAAGUUACUGGUUUGGGUUGUAAGUAGAGGACUUUAUGAAUUGGUUAGCGGUUCACUGCUGCUUUGUUACUUUCUUGAGUCAGAUUGGCUGCUUACUAAAUAAAAAGCUGAUAGAAUUGUGUACUCGGAUGGUUGUUGAUUGUGUGUGUAAACAGACAUUCCAGUGCCACCUAUAGCACAGCGUGCCCAAGAAGUCCUAACCGCAUGGAGAGUGCAAGCUGCAGGUUGGUUUGUGUAGACAUGACCUGAAGAAUAGUUGCUUUUCACAUGACAUCUUGCACUUUAGGAGACUAAGACCGUCCUGUUCUGUCUGCAUGUGGUGUGACCAAUGGUGUGCUCAGAGCACUACCCACAAUCACUAGUAUUAGCAAGCCGUCCCGGGCCGUGAUGCACUAUUAGUCCUUUGGAAGCUUUGGCUUUAGGCUCACCAAGCCCAGUCUCCUGUUUGCCUCUUUCUGUUCUUUGUGAACUUCCAGAUAAUACCACUCACUAAAGUUUAUUUUUUUGUUGUUUGUUUUUUAAUUUAAAAGAAAAAAACUAUUUAAAAAUAAGGACAUUUUGUUUGUUGACAGUGGUGGCUUGAUAAUCCUUAAGCAACAAGUUGAAAUAGAAGGAAAAGGCACUUGAAAAGGUUACUCUUCCUGUCCAGCUGUAUAUAAACCCAGUGUGUUGAUUAAUCUAGAUGGUGCAAAAAGGAAUGUCAUGGUAGACAAGCAACAUGGGCAAAAUUGCAAGAAAGGUUUUGGGUUUUUUCCAGUGGGCUGGGUUGGGUGGGAUGGGGUAAGCUGGACUCACAAGUCACGACUGGACGGGCCUUUUUAUCCUUUCACUGUAUCAUGUAAGUAGCUGCUUUCUUGCCUGCUUAUCCUUCAGGCAUCCCCAAAGCUCACUCUGAAGACGUUAGAAAUAAACACAAACUCUACGAGUUAGAAGCCGGUCCUGACACUGACAUGAAGGCAAACAUUGAUUUCAUAUGAACGUUGCAGAGGUGGUCAUUGGAGAAAACAGUUCCCAGAUUGUUAAGAGUUCACCGAAGAUAUCGACAAAAUUUUAAAAAUCAGUAAAGGAAUGUAUAUAAUAUUGCUCUUGUGUUUUACAGUAAGAUUUGUUGCUCUCAGACUGUGUAAAACAAAAUUUAUCCAUGUUUUCUGCAUAUUAAAAAUCUUAUUGUACCAAUUGGUAAACUAUUAAAUGCCUAUAAAACUA